rnacentral:rRNA from 1 species
GGCAGGGCAGCAUACUACUAAUGCAGUCGAGCGGAUCGCGUAUUGGGGUCUUGCGCUGACGAGGUGAGUAGGCCGAGGGGUGAUUCAUUUUGUGUAACAAUGCCCCCUGGCUGGGAUGGUCCGGGAAAUGUGGGCUAAUACGGGAAGAUUUUUGAACUGCAUGGUUCCAAAUUGAAAGGCGGCUUUUGGUGUCACAAUGGAUGGACCCGCGUCGAAUUAUCUAGUUGGUGAGGUGAUGGCUCACCACGGCGGGACUGCGUCACCGACCUGACACGGUGAGGAGGCACCCUGGGACUGACACGCGCCCCGGACUCCUACCGGAGGCAGCCAUGCGGAAUCUUCCACAAUGGACUAAAGUCUGACAGAUUCACUCCCCGUGAAUGAUGAAGGCUUUCCGGUCAUAAAAAUCCCUUGUUAAGGAAGAACCAGUGCCAGUUGAAUAACCUGGGGGGCUGACGGUACCUAACCUUAAAGCCACGGCUAACUACGUGCCAGGAUCCGCGGUAAUACGUAGGUGGCAAGCGUUAUCCCGAAUUAUUGGGCGUAAAGCGCGCGCAGGUGGUUUCUUAAAUCUGAUUUUAAAACCCACGGCUCAACCGUGAAGGGUCAUUGGAUUCUGGGAAACUUCAGUGCCGAAGACGACAGUGGAAUUCCAUGUGUAGCCGUGAAAUGCGUAGAGAUGUGGAGGAACACCGAUGGCGAACGCGACUUUCUGGUCUGUAACUGACACUUGCGCGCGAAAGCGGGGGGGAGCACACCGGAUGACAUACCCUGGUAGUCCACCCCUCUACCCGAUGAAGUGCUGUCUGUUAGAGGGUUUCCCCCCUUUAUUGCGGGGGUACCCCAUUACGCUCUCCGACGUGGGUGUGAGUGCCGCAACGCGCACACUCCUACGAAUUUAUUGGAGCCCCCGCCCGCCCCUCGAGCAUGUGUUUUUCUUUUUAGCGACGCGGACAAACAUUACCCCGUGCGUGGUCUUCCUCGUCAAAUCCUGGAAAGUUGGUUUUCAGGUUUCCGCAACCAGAGGAAACACGCGCUAGUAGAUUUGUCUUUUUCUUCUUGGCAUGAGUUAUUGGAGUUACGUGGCGCCAACGCCCACAAACCGUGCGAGCUGUGAUUUUCAAAUCCUACAGUUUCGUGCUAACUCUAGUGGGGAACAUGCCGGCGGUCCCUGCACCCUCGAAAAAAAGAUGAGAAAAG